GAGACUCCCGCAGGGUCAAAAACGACCUGCGACCUCUGGGCUUUUUAGAGGCGACUUCUGACCUGAGGGCCUGUAAAAUUUGGAAAAAACGACCUCCGACAGACUUCCGUCCUCUUGUGUUGGGAAAAACGACCUGCGACCUGUACAUUUCCCUUAAAAACGACCUCUCGACUAAUUUAAAAGCGACCUUGCGACCUGAGGGGGGUACCCUGUGGGAGCCUCAUGUAU
rnacentral:lncRNA from 1 species